rnacentral:lncRNA from 1 species
CCCUUAUUUUACUAAGUUACUAGUGUAGUGAUUAGUUUUUACCGUUAGUGACCGUUCGUUAUAUUUUACCGUUGUUAGUAAUUACCGUUGAGUGUAUAGAAACUUUUUGGAAUUAUGUUAGAAUGAGUUAAGCCCAUUAGAAUUUGGAAUUGAGCCCAUUAAGGGAGAUAACAUUAGGGUUGUCAUAGGAAAAUAUCUUUCAUUCACUUCACAAAACAUUUUCCUAGAGAGAGAGGGAGGUAGAGAGAGAAAGAGGUGAAGAGAAGAACAAGAGUGUUGAAGGGAAAACUUGGGGAAUCAAUUUGGGUGACCUAGGAGCUGAAUUGAAGCAAGGGUUAGAGAUAAUCAACUUCAAAGGUAAUGGGACGUUGUGCAGGAGUAGUCUCGGUGAGUCUUUGCUUGGGAUAUCGGGAGCUUCCUCCGAUAUCGGUGUCGUGUCGGCUCUGAUCUAGGCUUGUCGUGUCGGUCUAGAUUAGGUUGUUUAUAUUUUCCUUUGGAUUAUUAUUUUGUUGAUGACUACCCGUAUGUUUGGGUUUUGAGAUUUAUCUUUGGGAUAUGAUUUAUUUGCUCAUGGCAUGUAUAUAUUUGAUCACUCUGAUUUGUAUUC